rnacentral:rRNA from 1 species
UACGUAGGGUGCGAGCGUUAAUCGGAAUUACUGGGCGUAAAGGGCGCGUAGGCGGUUCGGUAAGUCCCGUGUGAAAUCCCUCGGCUCAACUGAGGAACUGCACGGGAGACUGCCGGGCUUGAGUUCGGGAGAGGGAAGCGGAAUUCCGGGUGUAGCGGUGAAAUGCGUAGAUAUCCGGAGGAACACCGGUGGCGAAGGCGGCUUCCUGGACCGACACUGACGCUGAGGCGCGAAAGCUAGGGGAGCAAACGGG